rnacentral:lncRNA from 1 species
ACGUUAUCAUUCUUGUUAGUUCUAAGUGAAUUCCCUCGGUAUGAUAAUUUGUUCAUCAGUUUGUUCCCCGUUUCUUCUCUAGCCUGAGCCUGACACACUAUUCUAGCUAGACAUGGGUGUGGCUCGUAACACCUGAUGACCAAACGGAUCUACGACACCAUCGAAUCUCAAACUUUAACUACCAAAACUAUUGUUUUUCAUCCUCUAGUCCCUUUUAGAAUUACUAAACGUCCUUUUUUGGGCCGAGAUUUCCAGGAACGCUUUCUCGGGGUUUGUGUGCAUGUAUUUCAAACCAUACAGACCUAAAAAUUAGAAGUCAUUCCAUCUUUAUUCCCGUAGAGCCUUCCAGCAGUUCCUAAACCGCUCCAGUCGGAGCAUGUUAUCAUUCUUGUUUGUUCUGAGUGAAUUCCCUCGGUAUGAUAAUUCUAUCAUCAGUUUGUUCCCCGUUUCUUCUCUAGCCUGAGCCUGGCAAACUAUUCNNNNNNNNNNNNNNNNNNNNNNNNNNNNNNNNNNNNNNNNNNNNNNNNNNNNNNNNNNNNNNNNNNNNNNNNNNNNNNNNNNNNNNNNNNNNNNNNNNNNNNNNNNNNNNNNNNNNNNNNNNNNNNNNNNNNNNNNCUAAACCGCUCUAGUCGGAGCACGUUAUCAUUCUUGUUAGUUCUGAGUGAAUUCCCUCGGUAUGAUAAUUCUUUCAUCAGUUUGUUCCCUGUUUCUUCUCUAGCCUGAGCCUGACACACUAUUCUAGCUAGACAUGGGUGUGGCUCGUAACACCUAAUGACCAAACGGAUCGACGGCACCAUCGAAUCUCAAACUUUAACUGCCAAAACUAUUGUUUUUCAUCCUGUUGUCCCAUUUAGAAUUACUAAACGUCCUUUUUUGGGCCGAGAUUUAGAGGAACGCUUUCUCGGGGUUUGUGUGCAAGUAUUUCAAACCAUACGGACCUAAAAAUUAGAAGUCAUUCCAUCUUUAUUCCCCUAGAGCCUUCCAGCAGUUCCUAAACCGCUCAAGUCAGAGCAUGUUAUCAUUCUUGUUAGUUCUGAGUGAAUUCCCUCGGUAUGAUAAUUCUUUCAUCAGUUUGUUCCCUGUUUCUUCUCUAGCCUGAGCCUGACACACUAUUCUAGCUAGACAUGGGUGUGGCUCGUAACACCUGAUGACCAAACGGAUCUACGACACCAUUGAAUCUCAAACUUUAACUACCAAAACUAUUAUUUUUCAUCCUGUAGUCCCUUUUAGAAUUACUAAACGUCCUUUUUUGGGCCGAGAUUUCCAAGAACGCUUUCUCGUGGUUUGUGUGCAAGUAUUUCAAACCAUACAGACCUAAAAAUUAGAAGUCAUUCCAUCUUUAUGCCCGUAGAGCCUUCCAGCAGUUCCUAAACCGCUCCAGUCGGAGCACGUUAUCAUUCUUAUUAGUUCUGAGUGAAUUCCCUCAGUAUGAUAAUUCUUUCAUAAGUUUGUUCCCCAUUUCUUCUCUAGCCUGAGCCUGGCACACUAUUCUAGCUAGACAUGGGUGUGGCUCAUAACACUUGUUGACUAAAUGGAUCGACGGCACCAUCGAAUCUCAAACUUUAACUGCCAAAACUAUUGUUUUUCAUCCUGUAGUCCCAUUUAGAAUUAUUAAACGUCCUUUUUUGGGCCGAUAUUUAGAGUAAUGCUUUCUCGGGGUUUGUCUGCAAGUAUUUCAAACCAUACGGACCUAAAAAUUAGAAGUCAUUCCAUCUUUAUUCCCCUAGAGCCUUCCAGCAGUUCCUAAACCGCUCUAGUCGGAGCACGUUAUCAUUCUUGUUAGUUCUGAGUGAAUUCCCUCAGUAUGAUAAUUCUUUCAUCUGUUUGUUCCCCGUUUCUUCUCUAGCCUGAGCCUGACACACUAUUCAAGCUAGACAUGGAUGUGGCUCGUAACACCUGAUGACCAAACGGAUCUACGGCACCAUCGAAUCCCAAACUUUAACUGCCAAAACUAUUGUUUUUCAUCCUGUAGUCCCUUUUAGAAUUACUAAACGUCCUUUUUUGGGCCGAGAUUUCCAGGAAUGCUUUCUCGGGGUUUGUGUGCAAGUAUUUCAAACCAUACAAAGCUAGAAAUUAGAAGUCAUUCCAUCUUUAUUAUCGUAGAGCCUUCCAGCAGUUCCUAAACCGGUCUAGUCGGAGCACGUUAUCAUUCUAGUUAGUUCUGAGUGAAUUCCCUCGGUAUGAUAAUUCUUUCAUCAGUUUGUUCCCCGUUUCUUCUCUAGCCUGAGCCUGACAAACUAUUCUAGCUAGACAUGCGUGUGGCUCGUAACACCUGAUGACCAAACGGAUCUAUAGCACCAUCGAAUCUCAAACUUUAACUGCCAAAACUAUUGUUUUCAUCCUGUAGUCCCUUUUAGAAUUACUAAACUUCCUUUUUUGGGCCGAGAUUUAGAGGAACGCUUUCUGGGGUUUGUGUGCAAGUAUUUCAAACCAUACAGACCUAAAAAUUAGAAGUCAUUCCAUCUUUAUUCCCCUAGAGCCUUCCAGCAGUUCCUAAACCGCUCUAGUCGGAGCACGUUAUCAUUAUUGUUAGUUCUGAGUGAAUUCCCUCGGUAUGAUAAUUCUUUCAUCAGUUUGUUCCCUGUUUCUUCUCUAUCCUGAGCCUGACACACUAUUCUAGCUAGACAUGGGUGUGGCUCGUAACACCUGAUGACUAAAUGGAUCGACGGCACCAUCGAAUCUCAAACUUUAACUGCCAAAACUAUUGUUUUUCAUCCUGUAGUCCCAUUUAGAAUUAGUAAACGUCCUUUUUUGGGCCGAGAUUU